UCAUCUCCUCAAGUUAGCGGAUUCUACGUUGCCCUACCUUCUUCCUCCAGCCGUUCCUCCGCAGCACUUGACAGAGAGCAGUCGCACUUUUUCCACACCGUCGCCAUGAGAGCUAAGUGGAAGAAGAAGAGAAUGAGGAGGUUGAAGCGUAAGCGCCGAAAGAUGAGGCAGAGAUCCAAGUAGGGGCCAUUAUCUGAUGGAUUGCUCCGACCUAGGGUUUUUGUUGUUACUGUUUAGAUUUCUUGAUGUUAUCUUCGUUUUUGUCGCGUUACCAUUUUGAAAUGCUUUUUUAUUUAUUGCUAUGUGAUCGAGAAACAUUUAGUUGUCUUCAAUUGAGAACUGGAUUUUCAUCAGCUUAA